rnacentral:rRNA from 1 species
UCCAGUUUAUCCUGCUGGAGGCUGCGGCUAUCUGAUUUGCGCUUAGACAUGCAAGUCUCUCGAAAGAGGGCGAACUGCUCAGUAACACGUAGCUAACUUGCCCUAAGGUCAGGGAUAACCUCGGGAAACUGAGGCUAAUACCUGAUAGAAAAUAUUUCUUGGAAUAGAAUAUUUUUGAAACUUGUGCCUUAGGAUGGGGCUGCGGCUGAUUAGGUAGUUGGCGGGGUAAUGGCCCACCAAGCCGGAGAUCAGUAAGGGCUCUUAGCGGAGAAGCCUUGAGAGGGGAUCUGAGAUACUAUCCCCAGCCCUACGGGGUGCAGCAGUUAGGAAUUUUCUGCAAUGCGCGCAAGCGUGACAGAGCGAGUCAGAGUGUUUCUCUUUGAGAAACUUUUGUUUGCUUUAAAAAUGCAGACGAAUAAGGACUGGGCAAGACUGGUGCCAGCCGCCGCGGUAAUACCAGCGGUCCGAGUCGCAGCCAUUAUUAUUGGGUCUAAAACAUCCGUAGCUUGUUUUGUAAGUCUCUUGUGAAAUUCUAUAUCUUAAGUAUAGAGCGAGCGAGAGAUACUGCAAGGCUAGAGACCGGAAGACGUAAGGAGUACGGUCGAGGUAGUGGUAAAAUACGUUGAUCUCGAUUGGACUAACGAUAGCGAAGGCACCUUACGAAGACGGUUCUGACAGUGAGGGAUGAAAGCUAGGGGCGCAAAACGGAUUAGAUACCCGUGUAGUCCUAGCCGUAAACACUGCACACUAAACAUCAGUAUCUCUUCGAGAGAUAUUGGUGCUGCAGGGAAGCCGAAGAGUGUGCUACCUGGGAAGUAUAGUCGCAAGGCCGAAACUUAAAGGAAUUGGCGGGGGAGCACUACAACCGGUGACGCGUGCGGUUCAAUCAGAUUCUACACCGUGAACCUCACCAGGAGCGACAGCAGAAUGAAGGUCAGUCUGAAGGGCUUACCUGACACGCUGAGAGGAAGUGCAUGGCCGACGUCAGCCUGUGUCGUGAGAUGACCUGUUAAAUCAGGUAACAGGCGAGACCCGUGUGUAUAGUUGCUACGUGCACACUAUACAGACUGCCUUGGUAACAAGGAGGAGGGUGCGGGCCGCGUUAGGUAGUACGCUCCGAAUCCCCUGGGCUACACGCGCGCGUCAAUGCUACAUUCAAUGGGAUGCGACUCUGAAAGGAGAAGCCAAUCCAAUAAAGUGUAGCUUAGUUCAGAUUGAAGUUUGCAACUCAGCUUCAUGACGUUGGAAUCGGUAGUAAUCGUUUGUUAUCAACGAACGGUGAAUAUGUCCCUGUUCCUUGCACACACUGCCCGUCAAACCAACCAAGUUGUGCAUUGGUGAGGCUCGUUAGAGACGAACCUUUGUACGACAAGGUAGGUUAAGUCGUCACAAGGUA